ACGGCCGCAGGCCUCGCGGUUGCACUGGCGACCCUCCUCCAGCACCCCCUCGCAGCCGCCGCCCUCCACGCCCGGCGCGGGCAGGCAGGUGCGCGUCCGCGUCUGGAGGCCUCCCCCGCAGUCCCGCGUGCAUUCGCCCCACAGGGACCACAGCUUCCAGCCGCCUGGGGGGAAACCAGAGGGCGGGGAUCAGGGCAGGGCAGGGGCUCGUGGCCUGGACGGGUAAGUCAUGGGGGUGCUAAGCCCGCCGAGGCCGGCCCGGGUGGGGAGGGGCCGCAGUGCCGGGGAAGGCCUGGCCUGGGAGGACCUGGGGGUCUGGUGUCUACCCAGCUCCCGGGCCCCCUCUGGAGAGCUCAGGUCACGUCUGAGCCUGAAGGGUCCCCGUGUGCCAGCCGCCACUGGGCAGGUUUGCCGCCAGGAUGAUGAAGGGAUGACGACCUCCGCCCACCAGAGGGCUGCCUCAGAGCACAGCGUCCUGAUGGUAUACCAGUGGUGAUCAAGGCCUCACACCUGGUGUCCAACCAGGGCCUCGAACCCAGGGCACAGCCUGACGGAGCCUGCCCUGGACCUGGCCAGCUGGCCACCCGAGGAGGGAGCCUGGGAUAAAUGCCUGCAGGCGCCUCCCCGCCACGCCCCUGCCCUGACCCCGGCCGCUCUGUUCAGCUUCUCUAGUGAGUCUUUCUCCAUCCCUGCCCCGACAGUCCCCGCGGCCUUCAUGGACCUGUGUUCCCCUAGCAAACCAGACCUCACGCCCCAGGAGUCUCUGCUCCCGGGGGGUCCUCGUGCUGCCAAAAACACUUUGGGCUGCUUGGAGUGCCCAUGGUCCUGGAGCACUGGGUAGCCAUGGAGGAGCACAAAGCAGGAGAGGGCCACUGCCAUCUGUGGGCCAGAGAGGGGCAGCAGCACCAGGGGGCCGGGAAGGGGCUGCCGCGUCCAGGCCUCCCGCUCGGGCCUCCUGCCCAGCACUCUGGGCUCAUGUACACCCUGUGCAGCAGGGUCGGGCGACUUGGAAAGGGCAUGCAGCCCUUGCCAAGUGCUGCUCCUGGCUACGGUGGCGAGGAGACAGCUGGCGGCCACCACGAGGGGACCCACCAUGGAGCUGGGGCCGCUGCCACUGGGGAACACUGGGGAUCCGGCAGCUCGAUCCCAGGUACAGCAGGGGAGGCCCCAGGGGCAGCAAUCAGGCCAAGCACAGGCCACCCCGACCCACCAGAAGGGCCCCAGGGCCUCUUGGAGCCUCAGGAAAGGGGCCCUGCCUCCCUCAGUGGGAGUGUGGACUGCAGGAGACCCCAGGGUAGCUCCAGCUGCCAGAUUCCCCCAGUGGCCCCACCACCCACUGGCCUCACUCCCAUCAUUUACAACAUGAGGAUAAUGGCUGACCUCCCAGGACUGACAAGUGGGAAGUCAAACAGCAAAAAAGGAUAUGAGAGGACGGCGUGUGGCAUUGUCACUUGGGUCAGAGUUGACUCCCGGGGCCCCACUUUGAUUUUCAGCAAACUCAGUGUCCAGCCAGAGUGCCCCCCACCCUGCCCCACUUCCCCACACCUAUGCCAGGAAUGGCCAGCAGGGGGUGCCAGGGGCAUGGGGAUGAGACCCAGGAGAGGGACUUGACCCACCACAGCUGUGGGAGGCCUCAUUUUCUCCCUGGUGGGGUCCAUAGGGUGGGAGGAGUCUUCCAGGCCCCCACACCUGCUGCAGAACCCUCUUCCUUCACUCACAGAGCCAUACUCCCACAGGUCCCAGAGAGGAGAGCACCUGGCUGAGGGUGCACAGCAGUUGAGCUGCCUCCUCCAUAGCGUGCUUAGCCCGUGCCAUGCCAGGAGAGGUGGGGGACUCAGCACGGCCUCCAGGGCACAAGGGCGGGACAGGGUGGCACCUGCCCACAGCAUAGGAACAGGUGACAGGCCCUUCGUGGCUGCCCUGUCACAUGCCCUAACUCAGGACAAGGAGAGGAACCUGGACUUGAACUGGUGGUCAGAUUCCAAACGCCCCCAUCCCCCAGACUAAGGCCUCCUGCCAGGACUGUCUGGGGCCCAGGUGCUCCGGGCCUCAGUGGUCUCAUCUGCUGAAGGCAUCCCACCACCCCGAUUCUGAGGCAAAGGCACAGACGGGGUCCUAAGGGGCGGGCCUGACAAUGGGUCAGGGUGGCACGUCCUGCGGCACCCCCCUCGCCGUCCCAGCCCAGCCCCCAUGCGGAAGCCUGAGUGACGUGGAAACUGGCAGUGGGCGGGAGAGAGAGGGUGUCCAAGCCAGGCUCAUCGGAGGAUGCCACUCGGUUCCCAUGGCAACUGCUGCAGCACGCAGCCUUUCAGGAGAGACCCAGGUUAGGCCUCAGCUGCCAAAACACCCACUCAUUUCAGGGCUGGUUACCUUGGUGACCCAGGUGGUGAGGAUGUGGUAGGGGGAGAAAGGGCGGGGGCACAUCAGGAGAGGCUUCGGAGGGGCGGGACACUGGCCCAGAGGAUGGAUCACCCUGCCCCCACAAACCAAGCCUGACCCUGGUCACAUACUGAACCCUGACUUUGGACCCGUGCUGAGCCCUGAUCCAGGUCACAAGCUGACCCUGGACGCAUACUGAGUCUCGAUUCUAGUCACACACUGAUUCCUGACCCUGGUCACAUAUUGAGCCUUGAUCCUUAUCACAGACUGACCUCUGAUCUUGGGCACAGAAUUCCUGAUCCUGUUAUAUACUGAGCCCUGAUCCCAGCCACAGACUGAUCCCCCAUCUUGGUCACACUCCUGCUACUAAUGAACACUGAGAAAAUGGUAGCUGCUAUUUUUAUUCUUGUUUUGUUUUUGAUGUGUGUCCCCUCACUUAGCUGACACUCAGUAAAUGUUUGUCUAGUGAAUGUAUCAAUGCCAGGAUGGAGCCCCUGGGGUCCGCAGUGCAGGGUGCAGAGGUGUUCAAGCCACGCUUCACUGGGUGGCCACAGUGUGUCUGAGCUGGGUGGACAGUGAAGGGCAGCAGAGGAGCAGCAAGCAGGCUGGGGGGUGGGCCGCCCCUCCAGGACCGGAAAGAAACCGCCUUUCUUCCCCCACUCAAUGCCGGCUCUGUCUGGAAGCCUCAUUUCCAUCUCAUUAAGGGGAUGAAUAGAGCCAAUUAACGGCCCCAGGCAGCCUGGCCACCCAGGGGAGAGGGUGCUUGGUGAGAGGCCUCCUGGUGUCCUUCCCACCCUGGCGCCCCAGACUGGAGGCUGUGAGCUCCCCACAGCCCGCACCCCGAGUUGGCUGGGAUGGGGGUGCGGGGGAGCACAGGGGGCGUCCCUCCCUCCAGCUGGGCCUCCCUAGCUUCCGGGCUGUUCUCUGGAGGAGAGCUGUGCACUUCUGUCUGUUGCCAGCAGAGGUCUCCCGACUCCAGCAGGUCGGGCAGCACCGGGGCUGGAGGGUCAGUCAGUUCUGCCAUUCCCACCCUGCUCUGCCACCAGGUCCCAGGCACCCACAGCGUGUCCGAGGGAUGACCCCACCUCCAGCCCAGGCUCCAAGUUAGGGUUUGUCCUGGGGCACCCAGACUCCUCUGAGACCUAGACCAGGGCCCCCUGCACGGACGUGGAAGGGAGGGCCCCGGAGGGUGGAUGGGGCGCCUGGUGGCCUGACUUAGCCCACCUGCUGCCAGCCGCUCCUACUGGAGGUGCCCAAGUGGCUGGUCCCCCUUCCUCCCGCCACAGAGGCGGGCACCAGCAGAUCUCAGGAUGGGGCUGAGAAGCCAAGUCCACCAUCCGGCAGGCCACUUCCCAGGUGAGCUAAGAGCGAGGAGCCUCGUGGGGCAGCGGGGCUCCCCGAAACCUGUCAAGCCUCCAUCUCCUUAAAGCCUCACGUAGGCCCUGCUAGCAGGUACUGUCCCGUCUCUAACUCUCAGGAGGGAAACUGAGGCUCCCUGAGCUGGCCGAGUCUUGUUGCUUCCUUUUCUUGAUCAGGCAGGUGCUCCUUGGCCUGAGAAUGGUGCCCUGUUUACAAGCCUGAAAGCCCAGGGCCCAUCCCGGAGACCUUGGACAAGUCUCUGCCCACCGCCCGGGCCCCGACCCCGGUUGUCUGCUGCCAGCUCCAUGUCCUUUCUCCCCAUCUUUCUGGGAAGUGGAACCAAAAUACAGUGCCCUGAUUCUCAGCCUCUCUCGCAGCCAGGCGGGCGUGGGGUGCGUUCUGGCUCUGAGCGGAGGAGGUGAAGGGCUGAAGGCAUGGUGGGCCCAGCAUAUCAUUCCCAUGGGGCCCCAUCCUGCCAUCCCCAUCUGAAAUGGGUGUUGUCUGUGAUGGGGACUGAAGCCUUCUUGUUUUCUAGAUUUUUCUAAAUUGGCCCUUGUGCAAAAAGAGUGGCUCUCCUGUCCAAGCCAGAAACCCCUGACAGUGGAGACCUUGGCACCUUCCCAAGCCCCUCGGUGCUCCCUGUCACCAUGAGACUACCUGGAGUCCCAAACUCCACUCCAAUCCUGACUCCUCUCCAAAUUCCAGCCCAGGCUUUGCCGCUCCCUCUGCCCCUGCACACCCCAGACAGGCCUCCAGAUGCCUCUUCCCAGGACUUCCGGGGCUCCUGGGGUUGGGGCUGAGCCUGACUGUGUCUCCAACAGCCUCCAGAGUGAGUGUGGGGUCACUGGGCAGGUGGGCCUGGGCUGAGCCUGACUCACCCUGGAGGCAGGGCAGGGAGGGGGAGGUCACCCCAUCUCCGUGGCCGGUCACAGCCCCUCGGCCAGCAGUAAGCCUCCCACACCCCUGCAGGAUCCAGGAGCCCAACGGAAUGUGUGGGUUCACACUCCACACCCAGUUCCAGCCCAGCCUCCCAUACCCACUCCCUGUGGGCACACAGAGGACGCACACAGGGACACACAGGGAUAUACACUCGAGGACACACAGGCACACAGACCACACACAGGGAAGCAGGGACACACACACACAGGGACACACACCACAGAGGGACACACACACAGGGACACAUACACUAAAUUGGCCCUUGUGCAAAAGGAGUGGCUCCCCUGUCCCUCCUUGUGCAAAAAAUGGCUCCACACACACCACACGGGGACACAUAGGGACACACACACACACGAGGACACACACACUUGCUCCCAGGCCCCAGGACGCUGCUUUUUCAUGAUCUUCCAUGUCGCUCGUGCAAUAAAAUUCUUUAAUUAAAACAUGAAUAUUUAAAACAACCCUUGAGAGAAACGGCCCCACUCACCCUAGGCGGAAAAAUGCAAAGGGAGGCAGUGGGGAGGAAGUGAUGAGAGCCAGAGAGAGCCGGCAGGAGAGGGGCCUGACAGCCUGGGGGGCGGUGGGGCGUGGGGCAGCACGAGGUGGAGGGGAACAGUUGCUUGGCCUGAGGAGUGUUUGCAGAGUCUGACGCGUGACGUGGCCAUGUGGCACUUGGACAGGCCGUGCGGGGGGCAGGGCUGAAAAUGGGCCACGGGCUGGCCUGGGCUGCCUGCUUGCUCCUGCACUUGGCUGUGUGUUGCCUGCUAGGGACAUGGACGGAUGGACAAGCCUGUCCCAGUGUCCCCAGGUCCCACAGCGAGGGCACAACGCUCCCUGGGCACAGGUCUCAGCUGGCAGGAUCUGGGGUCAACUCUGCCUCUGCUCAGCUGUGUGUCUUCUGAAUGGUCACCUGCCUCUCUGGUCCUCAUGCCACCCCAUCCCCCCCACGCACACGCACGUGCACACACAGAGACAUACACACAUACAUUCACACAGGCACUCACACAUUCACACACAUGCAUGUGCAUGCACUCACAUUCACACACAGGCACGCACACAUUCACACACAUUCACGUGCACACACACGCACUUGCGUUCACACGCACGUGCACAUACACACAUGCACGUGCAUACACACACAUGCACGUGCACACACACAUUCACACAUGCACACAUGCACACACAUUCACACACAUGCACGUGCAUACACUCACAUUCACACAUGCACGUGCAUACACACACAUUCACACAUGCACGUGCAUACACACUCACACAUGCACGUGCAUACACACAUUCACGCACGUGCACACACUCAUUCACACGUGCACACACUCACAUUCACAUCUGCAUGUGCACAUACACACUCCCACAUUCACACACAUGCACGUGCACAUAGACACUCCCACAUUCACACACAUGCAUGUGCACACAUUUACAUUCACACAUGCACGCGUGCACACACAUUCACUCACCUGCACGUGCACACACAUUCACACACAUGCAUGUGUGCACACAUUCACAUUCACAGAUAUGCACACACAUUCACACAUGCACAUGUGCACACAUUCACACACAUGCACACACACACACAUGCACGCAUGCACACACAUGCACACACGCACAGCUCUGAGCAGAGCUCACUGCAGACGCCCUAGUGUUACCACUCGAUGGCAGCGUCAAGGGGCUCUGCCAUCAGCCUGCCACUUACAAGCUGUGUGGCCCUGGCUGCUGCCUUAACAUGUCUGUGCCUGGUUUUCUCCAACUUGGACUGACUGAGUGCCUGCUGCUCCCAGGUACUGUUCUACACGUUGGGGGGCACGUCAGGGAACUGGCAAUGCCUGCUUUGUGCUGCUUACAUCCUGGCCUGGACAAUCAGAAGUGGACACAACAAAUAAGGGAAAUUAUGCAGUGUGUUGAGAGGUGACACAUGUGUGCAGAGACAGAGGCAGGAUAAAGGGUCAGAGAGUGGGCCCAGAGCUGCUGCCAUUUUCAACAGGACGGUCAGGGUAGCCUGCAAUGAAAGGUCACAUGUGCGUGAGGACUGGAAGGCGGGAGCCCUGCGGGUCUCUAGGGAAGACUUCCUGGCAGAGGGAACAGCUGUGUGAAGGCCCUGAGGCAGAGCGUGCCUCCACAGGAGCCUAUCUCCCGUGCAGGUGCCUCUGGCACAAAGUAAACACUCAAUAAAUGACUAUUACUACUGA